rnacentral:rRNA from 1 species
GACAGAGGGUGCAAACGUUGUUCGGAAUUACUGGGCGUAAAGCGCGUGUAGGCGGCCCUGCAAGUCGGGUGUGAAAUCCCACGGCUCAACCGUGGAAGUGCACUCGAAACUGCAGGGCUAGAGUCCUGGAGAGGAAGGUGGAAUGCUUGGUGUAGAGGUGAAAUUCGUAGAUAUCAAGCGGAACACCGGUGGCGAAGGCGGCCUUCUGGACAGUGACUGACGCUGAGACGGCGAAAGCGUGGGGAGCAAACAGG